ACGGGUGAGUAACACGUAUCCAACCUGCCGUCUACUCUCGGACAGCCUUCUGAAAGGAGGAUUAAUACAAGAUGGCAUCAUGAGUUCACAUGUUCACAUGAUUAAAGGUAUUCCGGUAGACGAUGGGGAUGCGUUCCAUUAGAUAGUAGGCGGGGUAACGGCCCACCUAGUCUUCGAUGGAUAGGGGUUCUGAGAGGAAGGUCCCCCACAUUGGAACUGAGACACGGUCCAA
rnacentral:rRNA from 1 species